UACGUAGGGAGCGAGCGUUGUCUGGAUUUAUUGGGUGUAAAGGGUGCGUAGGCGGCUAUAUAAGUCAGGCGUGUAAUUCAGAGGCUUAACCUCUGAACUGCGUUUGAAACUGUAUGGCUUGAGUGGAGUAGAGGCAGAUGGAAUUUCCAGUGUAGCGGUGAAAUGCGUAGAUAUUGGAAGGAACACCAGUGGCGAAGGCGAUCUGCUGGGCUCAAACUGACGCUGAGGCACGAAAGCAUGGGGAGCAAACAGGAUUAGAUACCCUGGUAGUCCAUGCCGUAAACGAUGAUUACUAGGUGUGGGGGGACUGGCCCCUUCCGUGCCGGAGUUAACACAAUAAGUAAUCCACCUGGGAAGUACGAUCGCAAGGUUGAA
rnacentral:rRNA from 1 species